AGAUUCAAUUUAGAGGAGCCAUCCGACACGGAAACCGCUUCAGUCUCUUCUCCCGCAUCGACCAAACUAACGAGCACCAUUUUAUACUGAUGACUGUUUGUUUAAAUUCUGUUUUACAUGACUUGGACGGCAAAUCUUUGAGAGUUGCCAAAGUUGGAUUUACUUUUUGCCACUUCAGGCAGUCCCUGCGGUGGUAUUUAGAGCAAUUAUUUCUUUAUUCUAAAACAAAUGAGCCAAUUACAUUUAGUCUGCAUUACUAUUUUGUCGGUUUUAUUUACAGAAGUCGUGAAAAUGAAGAGCCUGACAAUAAAAACACUCCGAAACGUAUUCAUUUAUCGAGGAUCCAGCGUCCUUUAAAUGGAACUACUGCUGAAGUACCCUUCGGCAAAGCAGCUUAAACCCCAUCUGUCCCAGUGGAGCUGCACAGCGACCGGCAGUACAAGACUGCGGUUGUACCGGGAACUUGUGAGAUGUGUCUCUUUGAGAGUGACCUACCUCCGCUUUUUUUCUUUUUAAAAGACGGAGAGUGGGCAGUCCACUCGCCUCACACUUUUUUUCUUCCAUGUACUCAGACAGUGAAAAGUUUUGAAGACACAAGAGAGAAAGCUGUGGCAGCCUUCAGUCCUGAGCCAGACACAGUUCACAUGUGGCCCCAAAGGCAGCAGACGGUGUAUUGAAUUACUGUAACUCAAGGUGUAAUGUGGUAGCAGUGUGGGAUAUGUAAGAAUUACACAAACGGAAGUAGAGGCGGCUUACUUCAGCUUCAGCUUUCUAUCGCAGCCAUAAAAUGUUGAAUUGUGUUUAUUUUCUUAAAUUUCAGCCGUAACCUUUCAUUGGCAAAAAUAGCAGCCACACUUUCUACAGUGAUAAUCAAUGUCUCAUUAUCAUUAGAUUUACCAAUUACAUCGAACUGCUAUUUAGAAAUACAAGGUUUAUAAAAGUAGGAGAAACAACUUCAAACCCUGCAUG